rnacentral:misc_RNA from 1 species
AACGCACAUUGCGCCCACCAGCACUCUGGUGGGCAUGCCCGUCUGAGCGUCAUUUCAACCCUCAGGGCCCGUCCGCGGGACCUGGCGUUGGGGAUCAGCCUUCUGGCUGGCCCUGAAAUCUAGUGGCGGUCCUUCCACGACCUCCCCUGUGCAGUAGUGAUACCUCGCAGCGGGAUAGUGGUCUGGCCAUGCCGUAAAACCCCCUACUUCUCAAGGUUGACCUCAGAUCGGGUAGGAAUACCCGCUGAACUUAA